rnacentral:snRNA from 1 species
GUGCUCAUUUCGGCAGCAUAUAUACUAAUGAUAUGGAGAUUAGCAUGGCCCCUGUUCAAGGAUGACCGUUGUGAAGUAUUCUAUAUUUUU